CACAAACAGAAGUGAACUGUGCAUGCAAUUGCAAAUCAAAUAAUAUCGAGCGAGGGGACGGCAGCGACGAGAUCGGCCAACCAGAGCCUGGCACCGACUUGGAAGAUCAGUAGGAGGAUCUCAAUCUUCCUUCGGGAAGAUCGAGAUCAGGAUUACGAUCCUUCAGAAGACCACGAGGAAAGCUCCAGUGAGACAGACACAACAUGGCAUGGCAGCCGUGUAUUUUUGGUGGCGGAGGCCAAAUUUCGGCAACUAUUCAAGAUCUGUCCGGAGCGCUAUGCCAGCUGCAAUGUGACGAUCGAACCUGUGGGCACAGUCGUGGAGGGCAGAACCCAUCUCCAUCCUUGAGGAUGUUGUCGAGCAUUGGUGUGCAAGUCGUCAGCUGCUCUACAUUUUUCACCCUACAGCGGACUCACCUCUGGCCGGCUAUUGGUAGAGUGUGGACCCACGAACAGGCUUCCCUGCUGGAAGAGGCAAGGGUCAAUCCCCUAAGGCUGGCCGGGGAUGGUCGGGCCGACUCGCCGGGGUUCAGCGUCAAGUUCGGCAC